CGCCUGGGGAGUACGGCCGCAAGGUUAAAACUCAAAUGAAUUGACGGGGGCCCGCACAAGCGGUGGAGCAUGUGGUUUAAUUCGAUGCAACGCGAAGAACCUUACCUGGUCUUGACAUCCACGGAAGUUUUCAGAGAUGAGAAUGUGCCUUCGGGAACCGUGAGACAGGUGCUGCAUGGCUGUCGUCAGCUCGUGUUGUGAAAUGUUGGGUUAAGUCCCGCAACGAGCGCAACCCUUAUCCUUUGUUGCCAGCGGUCCGGCCGGGAACUCAAAGGAGACUGCCAGUGAUAAACUGGAGGAAGGUGGGGAUGACGUCAAGUCAUCAUGGCCCUUACGACCAGGGCUACACACGUGCUACAAUGGCGCAUACAAAGAGAAGCGACCUCGCGAGAGCAAGCGGACCUCAUAAAGUGCGUCGUAGUCCGGAUUGGAGUCUGCAACUCGACUCCAUGAAGUCGGAAUCGCUAGUAAUCGUGGAUCAGAAUGCCACGGUGAAUACGUUCCCGGGCCUUGUACACACCGCCCGUCACACCAUGGGAGUGGGUUGCAAAAGAAGUAGGUAGCUUAACCUUCGGGAGGGCGCUUACCACUUUGUGAUUCAUGACUGGGGUGAAGUCGUAACAAGGUAACCGUAGGGGAACCUGCGGUUGGAUCACCUCCUU
rnacentral:rRNA from 2 species